rnacentral:rRNA from 1 species
UACGUAGGGGGCAAGCGUUGUCCGGAAUCAUUGGGCGUAAAGCGCGUGUAGGCGGCUCGGUAAGUCUGCUCUGAAAGCCCGGGGCUCAACCCUGGGAGGCGGGUGGAUACUGCUGAGCUCGAGUCCGGAAGAGGCGAGUGGAAUUCCUGGUGUAGCGGUGAAAUGCGCAGAUAUCAGGAGGAACACCGGUGGCGAAGGCGGGUCUCUGGGCCGAUAUUGACGCUGAGGAGCGAAAGCGCGGGGAGCAAACAGG